rnacentral:rRNA from 1 species
AUUGAACGCUGGCGGCAGGCCUAACACAUGCAAGUCGAACGAGUGGCGGACGGGUGAGUAAUGUCUGGGAAACUGCCCGAUGGAGGGGGAUAACUACUGGAAACGGUAGCUAAUACCGCAUACCAUCGGAUGUGCCCAGAUGGGAUUAGCUAGUAGGUGGGGUAAAGGCGCACCUAGGCGACGAGCCCUAGCUGGUCUGAGAGGAUGACAAGCGACACGGGAACUGAGACACGGUCAAGACUCCUACGGGAGGCAGCAGUGGGAAAUAUAGAGCAAUGGGCGCAAGCCUGAUGCAGCCAAGCCGCGUGCACGAAGAAGGCCUUAGGGUUGUAAAGUACUGUAAGCGGGGAGGCGUUACCCGCAGAAGAAGCGCCGGCUAACUCCGUGCCAGCAGCCGCGGUAAUAC